rnacentral:tRNA from 1 species
GUGCCUAGUGGACAUGGCAUCUGCCCGGUAAGCGGAACACUGUGGGUUCGGUUCCCAUUCCA